rnacentral:rRNA from 1 species
GACGAACGCUGGCGGCGUGCCUAACACAUGCAAGUCGAACGGAAAGGCGCGGCUUUUGCGGGGUGCUCGAUUGGGGAACGGGUGAGUAACACGUGUGUAACCUGCCCUUGACAUAGGGAUAACAUUAGGAAACUGGGGCUAAUACCGGAUAGGAGCUCCUGCAGCAUGGUGGGGGUUGGAAAGUUUCGGCGGUUGGGGAUGGUCUCGCGGCUUAUCAGCUUGUUGGUGGGGUAGUGGCUUACCAAGGCUUUGACGGGUAGCCGGCCUGAGAGGGUGACCGGCCACAUUGGGCCUGAGAUACGGCCCAGCCUCCUACGGGAGGCAGCAGUGGGGAGUAUUACACAAUGGGCGGGAGCCUGAUGCAGCCACGCCGCGUGCGGGAUGACGGCCUUCGGGUUGUGAACCGCUUUCGCCUGUGCCGAAGAGUGAGUGACGGUACUGGGUAAAGAAGCCCCGGCUAACUACGUG